CACGCCGUAAACGAUGAGUGCUAGGUGUUGGGAGUCAAAUCUCGGUGCCGUAGCAAACGCAAUAAGCACUCCGCCUGGGGAGUACGUGCGCAAGCAUGAAACUCAAAGGAAUUGACGGGGACCCGCACAAGCAGCGGAGCAUGUGGUUUAAUUCGAAGCAACGCGAAGAACCUUACCAGGGCUUGACAUACCAGUGACCGGCCUAGAGAUAGGCCCUUUCUACGGAACACUGGAUACAGGUGG
rnacentral:rRNA from 1 species